UUACCCUGUGGAAAGCACACCUCUAUGACCUAACUUCCUUCCAGAAGGCUCUACUUCCUGCAGGUUCUACCACCUUCCAGCAGUGCCACAGGCUGGAAACCAAACCCAUAUCUGGACCAUUGGAGGAUGUUUAAAAUCCACACUAUAGCAAGGAGUUUAAAGAGAAUGGAGGAAAAAUAUUUUCUCAAAGAGCCAAACAAGACAAAAUACAGAGGAGUUCAAAGGUUAUAGAUCAAUAUAAUGAUAUGUACUAAUUAACAAAUUGGUGAUUGUAAACCCUUAUAUGUCCCCCAUUUAAUAAACAAUUAUUAAGUGCCUAAUGUACUAGAAUCUGGGGAUAUUCAGUUCAGUAAAACUCAUUUCCUGGCUUCAAUGAAGUCUACUGAAGACAGUCUAUCUAGACCAGACUUGAAGAGAUCACUUUAACAACAUAAUUACUCAUCUUCACAACUAAGGAGCAGGAUAAAUGCAACUUGCCUACUGCUGCUUCACCCCAAUAUAGAUCCUGUUCUGUGGAUCAAUAGCUACUCAUCAUCUCUCAAAUUGUCUAAAAAUGGCAUCAAAAAGCUGAUUUCUGAAACAUAUCUAAGGAUCUUGGACAAAACAGUGCAUUGUACUGCAACAACCACUUUAUGUGGGUUCACAGCCUGACAAAAGGCACAGGAGAUGGAACGGUCAACACGAACCUGCUUUCUUUGAACUUGUACUGAGUGGAAGAAGACAAAUACUGUAAUCACACAGGGGCAGAUCUUCACCUCCUAGGGAGCCUGGGAUCCACCUGAAGAAAAAGCUGGUAAAACAGCUCUGAGCUUUCAAGCCUAUGGGAUUUAACCACACCAACAACCAAUGCCUACCGAGCCAGCAAAUCCAGUUGAUUGAAGUCAGCUGUCUCAAUUCCUUCACACACCAGAUUUAAAAUGGAUCUACCUGUCUAACUGAGAAAGAAAUCACUGUAGCAAAAGCUCACUCACCAGAAUUAUAAUCCAAGGGGACAGUUGUACCACAGAGCCACCCAUUCAUGUGGACUUAGUCUCAAUCCUUUUUUGUUUUUGUGCUUGGUUUUGUUUUUUAAAAAUGAUUUUUGCCAUGGGGAUUAGCUCAAUGAUAGAGCACUUGUUUAGUGUACACAGGCCCCAGGUUCCAUACCCAACACAGGAAGAAAAAAAAAGAUUUUCAACAUUGGAGGAUAAAAUAACAACUCUGAGUAACUGUAGAUCAAAAAUUAUGGCUCAUGCUUAUGCUCACUGAAUAUUUGUUCUGGGUGGGGGAGAACUGAAAGAGGAAUAAUCUUAUUGUGUUAACCAAGACGUUUCCCUGUACCCUGAAAAGCUCAUGUUCUCAUCAAGAGAGCCUGAGAAAGUAGCCUCUCAAUUAAGAUUAAUAUCAGACCACAGAGAGCAUAAUGGUUUCAUUGAAUAUUCAGUUAUAAGCCAAACUUCUUCUUUCUGGUUGGAAAUGCCUUUUCAUUGUGAUAAAGAUUUUGACAUUGGAGAGUAAAGGGAAGAAAUAAAUACACAUGAGACAAGUUUAUCAGAAUGGGGGCUACAGAAUAUUCCUAGAAUCUUUGUGAGGUUAUAGAGAAAAAUAGAAGAGAAAGAGCUGGAAGUUGUGUUUAAAAGUGUUAUGUGUGUCCUUACCUUCAAAUUAGGUUAGAAAGGAUCUACUGUUAGUUGUCUUGGGAGAAAUUGUUUUCCAUUCUCUUAAUUUGGAAACAUUCUGGAAUUUUUUCUCCCAGUUUUUUUAUAUCCAGUGGUAUCCAUUUCAACUUUUAGGUAAGUAGUAUAUGAUAUAAGAUUAACCUUCAAUACACAAGUGUAUUUCUUUCUUUGCAAUUCAUACAUACCCAUUAUGUCUGCAGAUGUGUGAUUAUGAUUUUUUAGCCUUUUCAUAUAUUAUAUGUUAACUUUUUUACACAUGCAUGAUACUUGAUACUCUAUUAGUUACUUUCCCAUUGCUGGGAUAAAAUACAGGGCACCUGCAAUUUAAAAUAGGAGAAGAUUACUUUGCUCACAGUUUCAGUGGGUUCAGUCCAUGGCUGGCUGGUUCAAAGGCAGAAACAGCAGAGUAGAAGGGCAUUGCAGAGGACAGCUGAUAACCCCAUGGCAGACAGGUGGCAAAGAAAGAAAGAAGGAACCAGGGACAGUAAUACACCCUUCCAGAUCAUGCCUCUGGUGGUGGACCUCCAAUCAGGCCCAACCUCAUAAUAGCAUAUUCAGCUACUGAACUCAUCAGUGGAUGAAUACAUUCAUGAAUGUAGUCCCCCCAGGAUCCAAUCAUUUGCAAAAUCCCUACCUCUAAACACAUGCAACAUCUGAGGGGACAUUUUUUGUCUAAACCAUAAUAGUAAAAAGAAUUAUUUUCUAGAACAAAUUUAUCCAAACUUCCAGUUUUUUUAUUUCAUCUCCAAAUAAGUCAGCUUCUCCAGAGUUUUAAUUUUGCUGGCGCUUAAUAUCAAAUCUGUUAUCAGUAAAAUAUGAUUACCGCUGAUCAUGGAUUUUCAACUUCUUCAUUUAUAUCCCCUGAAUUUUAAAUAGAAUUCCAUUUCAUUAUGAAUGUCAACCUGAUUAUCAGUUAUGGUUAACAUUUGGUGAGGACCAAGUAUCUUCUAAACACCAUGCUUACAGAUGAGGCAAUCUUCCAUAGGCCCAUAAGCAUCCCUGUUUCUUUUUGCUGUGUUUACCAAGAAUGCAAAGUUCUGGGCUGGGGAUUUAGCUCAGUGGUUCCUCCUCCUGCCACGCAAGCGCAAAGUCGCGAGUUCGAUUCCAGUACCAAAAAAAAAGAAUGCAAAAGUUCUGACUGUCCUUUCGAAAGGCCAUUUCUCUGGGUUGUGUUCACAGCAAGUACGUGAAGAAUAAGGUAAUAACUCCCCUUGGACAAAGUCCAGACUUCUACUAUAUUUACUAUAAAGUAAUGCCUCUGUGAGAUAACUGUCCCCGCCUAUAACUCAAACCAGUGUGUGUGCAAGCAUGUGUUAUAGAACUUAUUGUUAUGGCUUAUAACUAGAUGUUCCCCUGAACCCGUAGAAGGGUUCACUCAUAGAUGGGGCUUUGGGGAGGUGGCUGAAUCAUGGGUGUGUGAUACUGGAUUAUGAAUGUGAUAACUGGAUCAGUCUACUGAUUGGUUUAGCAUAGCUCUGGGUAUGGAUUAUGGGAGGGCCCACCCCGAGUGUGUGUGGCACCAACAAAGCCUUGUAGCCUGAAUGAAGUAAAAGUGAAAGGAAGGCCCACUGCUAGGUGCUUCCUGUCUGCCACAUCAUAGACUAUUUCUUCUCUGCCAUGCCCCACCACCAUGCCACUUGUCUUGGAGCCAGGCAACUAUGGAGUGAAACCUCUAUAAACUGUGAGCUAAAAUAAACCUUUUCUCCUUUAGCUUUGUGUGUUAGGCAUUUUGUCCCAGCAACAAGAAAGUAACUAAGACACUUCUGUAGCACCACAAAUGAACACAAAGCUUUAGCAACUGUUUUUGCUAUAAGAAUUAAAUAUUUUUCCUGUCCCAGAAAUCUCAGGUCUUCUGCCUGCAUCCUGCAGCAGGUUAACUUAAAUAGCUUUUAAGUGUAGUAAAAUUACAGACCCUGCCUAUGUAGUUCUUGAUAAAAUUUUAAAGCUCCCAUGAGACUCUUUCAGAUACAGACCUAAAACAUCUCUGAAGUUACCAAUACCCUAUUGAUCACAAUUUUCUUCAUUAUUAAGUCUCAUUGUCAGUUCUCUUGUCAGCACCUUCCAUUUCAUAUGCUUUCCUGGCAGUUAAACUGCUCUACACUGUGCUGCUGAGAACAAUCCCUCUGCUUAUAAGCUACCAUGAUUUACAGCAUAAAGCCUCGGCUGGGCCUCCAACAACACUUGUGACUUCUUUUUGCUUGUUUUGGAGCAGUUCUUCCUCCCAUUCUCUUCAGAUGCUAAAACUUUACUCUUCCCUCAAAGCUUCUUCUCUAGCCCUUUGUCUCCACUGUCUUAUAGAAAGUUAGAAACUCCCAAGAAAUAACUCCAUAAACUGUGCUUCAGACAGAUCUGUAAAGGUGGAUCUAGAACACUCCUCUACCUCCUUAGCUAAAAACAUGAGCUGUUCCAGUCAAAUACCUCCUCCCUGUGAUAGUUAAUGCUGAAUGUCAACUUGAUUGUAUUAGAAAAUGCUUAGUAAAUUAGUAAAGAACAUUUCUGGUUAUGUCGGUGGAAGUGUACAGAGAUUAUUGGCAUUUGGGCCAGCAAACUGAUGGAGAAAAUCCACCCUAAUUUUGGGUGGCACCAUCCAAUAAGCUUAUAGUCUGGGUGGAAGGAAAAGGAAGAAGAAAGAAAUUGGCCUGCAUUUGAAAAGCUCCAUUCUGCUUGAAUGAGUGUGUUUUUGUUACUACCAAUGCCUUUGGAAAUCAGACUCCAGCUUCUUCAGCUUUACAUUGUGGAUUCAUACCAGCAAUGCUCCACAGAGCUCCCAAACCUUCAGUCCUGAACUGUCUGGUGUUCCAUCCUUUAUCCCUCUUGUUCCACAGCUUCUAGCUUCUUGGACUGAGCAAAUACUAGAAGGGCCUCUGGCUUGACAGUGUGCAGAUAGCCAUUGUGGACCCUAUCACCUCAGAUCAUGUAACCCUACCUAAUAAACAAAAUACCCAAAACCCACAACUUAAAGGAGAUUUACUUUUGGCUUAUGGUUUCUGUCCAUAGUCAACUAGCUGGCACAAAGACAGAAGCAGGAUGGCAGAAGGGCAUGGCAGAGAAAAAGGUACUCAACUCAUGUACUACAGCCAGAAAGCAGAGAGAGAAGGGAAGAGCCAAGAAUAAGAAUACACUUUACCCUGUCAGGCCCUCAGUGACCCAACCCCAACCAGGUCUCACCUCCUAACAGC